UGUGGUGGUGUGUGGUGGGGUGUGGAGGUGGUGUGUGGAGGUGGUGUAGGGGGGUGUGGAGGUGUGUAGUGGUGUGUGGAGGUGGUGUAGUGGUGUGUGGAGGUGGGUGUAGUGGUGUGUGGAGGUGGUGUAGUGGGGUGUGGAGGUGGUGUAGUGGGGUGUGGAGGUUGUGUAGUGGGGUGUGGAGGUGGUGUAGUGGUGUGUGGAGGUGUGUAGUGGUGUGUGGAGGUGUGUGGUGGUGUGUGGAGGUGUGUGGAGGCGUGUGAGGUGGUGGUAGUGGGGUGUGGAGGUGUGUAGUGGUGUGUGGAGGUGGUGUAGUGGGGUGUGGAGGCUUGUGGAGGUGUUGUAGUGGGGUGUGGAGGUGGUGUAGUGGGGUGUGGAGGUGGUGUAGUGGGGUGUGGUGGUGUGUGGAGGUGGUGUAGUGGGGUGUGGUGGUGUAGUGGGGUGUGGGUGUGGAGGGAUAAGAUGAGAUGAGUUCUGUUCUGAUGAGAUG
ensembl:lncRNA